rnacentral:misc_RNA from 1 species
GUGAAUCAUCGAAUCUUUGAACGCAAAUUGCACUCUCCGGUUUUCCGGGGGAGUAUGCCUGUUUGAGGUUCAGCCUAAAAAAAAUCGACCUUGUUGCUGUUUUAUGGUGACUUUCGUCGGCGAAGGGUUAUCUUAAAUUUCGGUUUAAGCGACUUAACAAUUUUUUUUCCGAUUCUAAGAAUGUUUCUAAGUUUUUUCUUUUACGUGUAAGGUAUCGCAUGAUU